UACGUAGGGACCAAGCGUUGUUCGGAUUUACUGGGCGUAAAGGGCUCGUAGGCGGCCAACUAAGUCAUACGUGAAAUCCCUCGGCUUAACCGGGGAACUGCGUCUGAUACUGGAUGGCUUGAGUUCGGGAGAGGGAUGCGGAAUUCCAGGUGUAGCGGUGAAAUGCGUAGAUAUCUGGAGGAGCACCGGUGGCGAAGGCGGCAUCCUGGACCGACACUGACACUGAGGAGCGAAAGCCAGGGGAGCAAACGGG
rnacentral:rRNA from 1 species